rnacentral:tRNA from 1 species
GUGAGUGUCGCCUAGCGGCUAAGGCGCCAGACUGUGGAUCUGGAGAUCGGGGGUUCGAAUCCCCUCACUCACCCCA